CGGGGCGUGGCGCAGCCCGGUAGCGCGCCUGCUUUGGGAGCAGGAGGUCGCCGGUUCGAAUCCGGCCGCCCCGA
rnacentral:tRNA from 3 species